AUAACUGUUAGAGAGUUCACACCUGGUACAGGUCUAUUAACUGUUAGAGAGGGAGAGAGUCACCACCAGUGUACAGGUCUAUUAUAACUGUUAGAGAGAGGAGAGAGGUCACACCAUGGUACAGGUCUAUUAUAACUGUUAGAGAAAGGAGGUCACACCGUGGUACAGGUCCUUAUAACUGUUAGAGAGAGAGAGAGGGUCACACCGUGGUACAGGUCUAUUAUAACUGUUAGAGAGCGAGAGGUCACCGUUGGUACAGGUCUAUUAUAACUGUUAGCGAGAGAGAGGUCACCGUGGUAACAGGUCUAUUAUAACUGUUAGAGAGAGAGAGAGAGAGAGAGAGAGGUCACACCGUGGUACAGGUCUAUUAUAACGUUAGAGAAGAGAGAGGUCACACCGGUUGGUCAGGUCUAUUAUAAACUGUUAGAGAGAGAGAGAGGUCACACCGUGGUACGCGUCAUUAUACUGUUAGAGCGAGAGAGAGGUCACACCGUGGUACAGGUCUAUUAUAACUGUUGCGAGAGAGAUGAGAGAGGUCACACCUUGUGGUACAGGUCUAUUAUAACUGUUAGAGCAGAGAGGGUCAGCACCGUGGUACAGUGUCUAUUUAAACUGUUAGAGAGGGAGAGAGGUCACCCGGGUAGGUCUAUUAUAACUGUUAGAGAGAGAGGAGUCCCACCGUGGUACAGGUCUAUUAUAAACUGUAGAGAGAGAGGGGGUAACUGUGUACAGUUAUAAUGUUAGAGAGAGAGAGGUCACCCGUGGUACAGGUUUCUAUUAUAACCUGGUUAGAGCGAGAGAGAGAGGUCACACCGUGGUACAGGUCUAUUUAACUGUUAGUAGAGAGAGAGAGAGUCCACCGUGGUACAGGUCUAUUAUACUGUUAGAGAGAGA
rnacentral:lncRNA from 1 species